ACACCCAGGAAGUCUGUGGCAGAGCUAGGAGCUGAAACCAGGUCUCCCAAGUCCUAGUCCAGAGCCUCCACCAGAAGAAUGCCCAUCCUCUUGUUUAUUUAAAAGUGUUUUUGAAAGAUGAUGGGUUUAACAUCAUCCCACCACCUUGCUGAUGUUUUUCAGCAUGCUCUGGAGGGCCCACUGGAAGGAUGAGAGAAAACUUCAGUCUCUAUGGUUCCAUUCAAUCCUUGGCAUCUCAGGCUUGCCAGGACAGCAGCUGGAAGUGCACAAACAAAUCACUGUCUCACAAGAACAAGAAAUCCAAAAUAUACAGUUUCUCAGCCAAAUCCUGGCAUUAUAAGACUACAGAAGCCCUUCCAGUGAACUGAUCAUCACUCACCUUAAAGUGAGGAAGGAGAACAUUCUGUGUGAAACCCAAAGAAGAUGGGACACAGAGGAGUAUGUGGAUUAUUGAGGUUAGGGUCAGACAGACUCAUAAGAAAGAAUCCCCCAUUUUGUCCCUCGUAUCUGCACCCAGCGCGUCCUGGAGCAGACUGGGAAGCCUAUCCCGUAUUAUGCUCCUGUUACAAGAUGUUGACUCAACACAGCCUCAGGGAGGUACGUCAUCUGCUAUUAAAAUACUGAUCCAUCCAUCAAAGCCAAAAUAAGGCCGAUGUGCAGCAUUCAAAUGAA